GACGAACGCCGGCGGCGCGCUUAACAUAUGUAAGCCGAAUGGAAAGGCCCUGCUUUUGUGGGGUGCUCGAGUGGCGAACGGGUGAGUAACACGUGAGUAACCUGCCAUUGACUUUGGGAUAACUUCAGGAAACUGGGGCUAAUACCGGAUAGGAGCUCCUGCUGCAUGGUGGGGGUUGGAAAGUUUCGGCGGUUGGGGAUGGACUCGCGGCUUAUCAGCUUGUUGGUGGGGUAGUGGCUUACCAAGGCUUUGACGGGUAGCCGGCCUGAGAGGGUGACCGGCCACAUUGGGACUGAGAUACGGCCCAGACUCCUACGGGAGGCAGCAGUGGGGAAUAUUGCACAAUGGGCGGAAGCCUGAUGCAGCAACGCCGCGUGCGGGAUGACGGCCUUCGGGUUGUAAACCGCUUUCGCCUGUGACGAAGCGUGAGUGACGGUAAUGGGUAAAGAAGCACCGGCUAACUACGUG
rnacentral:rRNA from 1 species